GAUGAAGAACGCAGCGAAAUGCGAUAAGUAAUGUGAAUUGCAGAAUUCAGUGAAUCAUCGAAUCUUUGAACGCAUCUUGCGCUCCUUGGUAUUCUGAGGAGCAUGCCUGUUUGAGUGUCAUUAAAUUCUCAACUACACUGACUUUGAAUUGGUGUGGCUUGGAUUUGGGGGGAAAAUUGUUGUGGGCUUUUUGUAUAGUCUGCUCCCCUGAAAUUGAUUAGCGGUACCUUUGUGGAACUGUCUACAGGUGUGAUAAUUAUCUACAUCUUAGACAUCUGCUGGAAUGCUGCUUUCUAAACCUUACUUGUAUUGACAAUCUUGACCUCAAAUCAGGUAGGACUACCCGCUGAACUUAAGUAUAUCAAUAAGCGGAGGA
rnacentral:misc_RNA from 1 species